AUCAACGCUGGCGGCGCGCCUAACACAUGCAAGUCGAGCGAGAAGAAGUGGGGGCAACCCAUGAGUACAGCGGCGAACGGGUGAGUAACACGUGGGUAAUCUACCUCCUUGUGGGGAAUAACCCUGGGAAACCGGGGCUAACUACCGCAUAAGCCCGAGAGGGGAAAGCUAGCAAUGCGCAGGGAGAGAGAGCCCGCGGUCCGAUUAGCUAGUUGUGAGGGUAAAGGUCUCACCAAGGCUAAGAUCGGUAGCCGGCCUGAGAGGGCACACGGCCACACUUGGCACUGAAACACCGGGCCAGACUCCUACGGGAGGCAGCAGUGGGGAAUCUUGCACAGGGGGGCAACCCUGAUGCAGCGACGCCGCUGUGAGCGAUGAAGCCCUUCGGGGUGUAAAGCUCUUUCGGCAGGGAAGAUGAUGACUGGUACCUGCAGAAGCAGCUGUCGGCUAACUACGAUUGCUCAGCUAGCGGCAGUAAUACGUAGGCAGCAAGCGUUGUCGGAGUUACUCGGGCCGUAAAGGGUGUGUAGGCGGUUGUUUACGUUGGUGUGAAAUCUCCGGCUCAAGACCGGGAGGCGUUGCGCCGGAAACUGAAUGACUCGAGUGCGGGGAGAGGAGAGUGGAAUUCCUGGUGUAGCGGAUGACAAUGCGUAGCUAUCAGGAGGAACACCGGUGGUGUAAACGGCUCUCUGGACCGUAACUGACCGCUGAGACACGAAAGCGUGGGUAGCACUACAGGAUUCAGAUACCCUGGUAGUCCACGCCCUAACGAUGCAUAUUCUGGUGUGGGUGAUUCAGUUCAUCCGUGCCGGAGCUAACGCGUUAAAUAUGCAGCCUGGGGAGUACAGUCGCAAGGCUGAACUCAAAGGAAUUGACGGAGGGCCCGUCACAAGCGGUGGAGCAUAUGGUUCAAUUCGCGCGACGCGAGAACCUUACCUGGCUCGAACGGCCGGUCAACGGAAGUGGAACACUGUUAUCCCGCAAGGGAGUCCGGUCGAGGUGCUGCAUAGCUGUCGUCAGCUCGUGUCGUGAAGAUGCUUGGGUUAUAGUCCCGCAACGAGGCAGCCCUCGUCCGUGUUGCCAUGGGAGCAUCCCGGAACUCGCAGGAGACCGCCAGCGAUAAGUUGGCGGAAGUUGGGAUGACGUCAAGUCCUCAUGCCUUUAUGUCCAGGCUACACACGUGCUACAAUGGCCUGGUACAAAGCGCUGCAAACCGCAGAGGGGCGACCAAUCGCAAAAACCGGUCUCAGUUCGGAUUGCGGCGUGCAACUCGCAUGCAUGAAGCUAGGAAUUCGCUAGUAAUGGCAGAUCAGCACGCUGCCGUGAAUACGUUCCCGGGCCUUGUACACACCGCCCGUCACAUCACGAAAGUGGAUUGUACUAGAAGCCUGCAGGCCGACCCGCAAGGGGGGCAGCGGUCCAAGGCAUUGAUCCAUGAUUGGGGUG
rnacentral:rRNA from 1 species